rnacentral:rRNA from 1 species
UACGGAGGGAGCUAGCGUUGUUCGGGAAUUACUGGGCGUAAAGCGCACGUAGGCGGCCAUUCAAGUCAGAGGUGAAAGCCCGGGGCUCAACCCCGGAACUGCCUUUGAAACUAGAUGGCUUGAAUCUUGGAGAGGCGAGUGGAAUUCCGAGUGUAGAGGUGAAAUUCGUAGAUAUUCGGAAGAACACCAGUGGCGAAGGCGAACUCGCUGGACAAGUAUUGACGCUGAGGUGCGAAAGCGUGGGGAGCAAACAGG